UGAGGAAUAUUGGGUCAAUGGGCGCAGGCCUGAACCAGCCAAGUCGCGUGAGGGAAGACGGUCCUACGGAUUGUAAACCUCUUUUGUCGGGGAGUAACGUGCGGGACGCGUCCCGUAUUGAGAGUACCCGAAGAAAAAGCAUCGGCUAACUCCGUGCCAGCAGCCGCGGUAAUACGGAGGAUGCGAGCGUUAUCCGGAUUUAUUGGGUUUAAAGGGUGCGUAGGCUGUUCUGCAAGUCAGCGGUGAAAGCCCGGGGCUCAACCCCGGAAAUGCCGUUGAUACUGCGGGGCUGGAAUACGGAUGCCGUGGGAGGAAUGAGUAGUGUAGCGGUGAAAUGCAUAGAUAUUACUCAGAACACCGAUUGCGAAGGCAUCUCACGAAUCCGUUAUUGACGCUGAGGCACGAAAGCGUGGGGAUCAAACAGGAUU
rnacentral:rRNA from 1 species